CCCUUAGAUGUUCUGGGCUGCACGCGCGCUACACUGAAGCUAUCAACACGUUUUCCCUCCCUGAGAAGGGCGGGUAACCUUUUGAAUCAGCUUCGUGGUAGGGAUCGGGGCUUGCAAUUGUUCCCCGUGAACCAGGAAUUCCUAGUAGACGCGAGUCAUAAGCUCGCAUCGAUUAAGUCCCUGCCCUUUGUACACACCGCCCGUCGCUCCUACCGAUUGAAUGGUCCGGUGAAGCGUUUGGACUAUGGUUUUCUGACGGUUCGCCAUUGGAUUACCGUGGGAAAUUCGUUAAACCUUAUCAUUUAGAGGAAGGAGAAGUCGUAACA
rnacentral:rRNA from 1 species